rnacentral:rRNA from 1 species
CAUAGUUUAUUAGAUCUUACUCAACUUGGAUACCUGUGGUAACCUAAGAGCUAAUACAUGCAAGUAAGUCCCGACCGUGAGGGAGGGAUGCAUUUAUUAGAAUAAAACCAAUCGGGCUUGCUCGCUUUAUGGUGAAUCUGAAUAACUAUGCUGAUCGCACAGUCCGCGUACUGGCGACGUAUCUUUCAAAUGUCUGCCUUAUCAACUUUCGAUGGUAGUUUACACGGCUACCAUGGUUUUCACGGGUAACGGAGAAUUAGGGUUCGACUCCGAGAGAGGGAGCCUGAGAAACGGCUACCACA